rnacentral:rRNA from 1 species
UACGUAGGUGGCAAGCGUUGUCCGGAAUUAUUGGGUGUAAAGCGCGCGCAGGCGGUUAUGUAAGUCUGAUGGUAAAGCCCGGGGCUCAACCUCGGUUCGCAUUGGAAACUGCGUAACUUGAGUGCAGAAGAGGAAAGUGGUAUUCCACGUGUAGCGGUGAAAUGCGUAGAUAUGUGGAGGAACACCAGUGGCGAAGGCGACUUUCUGGUCUGUAACUGACGCUGAGGCGCGAAAGCGUGGGGAGCAAACAGG